rnacentral:lncRNA from 10 species
GGUAUGGGUGGCUCCUCUCUGCUGCUGGUCAUCCUGUCAUCUCCUCAGCUCUGGCUGAGCCCAGGGCUUUUAUGGGCCUCAGAGGGGAAGAAGUGCACACCAGUUGGUCCAUGGGUGGCCAUGGGCAGGCCCAGAAAAGGCACCAGUUUCCCACUCCGGUUGGUGGGACUGGCAGCUCAGCCUCCACCCUUCAGGCCCUCCCUAGGAACCUGCCCCCUUCCACCCAGGAAUCUAUCUGCCUCUUGCUACCAUUCAUGGCACCUAGGCUUGGCCCUGACUUUGCUCUAAGAUCAGAGCUGGUGCUGGGAGCAGGAAGAGACCAGGCAGUGGGAGCAGGCAUUUCUGAGCCUGUGAGGGCAGGGGGGCCUUCCUGGGCCCCCAAGAGUGCAAGAAUGCCUGAGUCUGCAGCCAGGGUUUGAGCGGCUACAGCUGCACCCAGGAGAGCAGGCCUCCUGCCUGCUUCCAGACCUGCAAGACCACAGGGAGGCUUGAUCAGCAGCCACGACUUGGGCAGCAGCAGCCAUGACUUAGACAGCUGAAGCCCCAUCUGGGAGGAUGGGGCUCCUGCCUGCUCCAUGGAGUGGGAGGCCUAGGUCUGCAGUGCGGUUUGGGCUGCUGCACCUGUGCCUGGAAGGGCAGAGCUACUGCCUGCUCCGUGGAGCUGGAAGCCCUGUAGGGGAUGGGGGGACAGAGCUCCUGCCUGCUCUGUGGAAUUAGAGGCCCGAGCCCACCUCCCUGCUGCAGCCAGUGUCUUGGCAGUAGCCACUCUAGAUGGACCACUGCUACCAUCUCUACCAAGACAGUAAACAUUUACACAAUAACAGCUCUACUCCAGCCAAGCACUAUAGAAAAAAAGCUGUGGCCCCAUCCCUACCCAUACCAGCAAAAAUUUAAUGGGGAACCUAGACUUCCACCUUCACCAAGGUGAAAAAAGGUGCUCUUCCAAAGAGGAUGUCACAGAAGGGUGAGUGAAGAACCAGAAAUUUUUAUCCCUGCCCAGCAGUAACAAGACCUCCCCUCCCAUGGUAUUACUGGAAACCACAUGGGGGUUCUGGAUUUUCACCCCUAUCUGGUGGUAGUAAGACACCCCUCCUCAUCCCUAUUGGGGUGGUGUCAGAAGACACCUAACGGAAAGCAGAACUUUGAUCACUGCCAAACAGUAACAAACAUGUAUUCUGCUCCACAUUGUCAAUGGGGAGCAGUAACAAGUAACUGCACCCCCAUCCUGACAUGUGUGUGUCAUAUGAGGUUGAGUGGAGUGUUGGGAAAACUGGAUACGUACAGACAGAAGAACAAAAU